rnacentral:rRNA from 1 species
AUGAACGCUGGCGGCGUGCCUAACACAUGCAAGUCGAACGAAGCGUCCCGCCCGAAGAUGAGGAGUGCUGCACAAAUCUGAUUCAAUUGGGAUGACUUAGUGGCGGACGGGUGAGUAACGCGUGGGUAACCUGCCUUAUACAGGGGGAUAACAGUUAGAAAUGACUGCUAAUACCGCAUAAGCGCACAGUAUCGCAUGAUACAGUGUGAAAAGCCGAGACGGUAUAAGAUGGACCCGCGUCUGAUUAGCCAGUUGGCAGGGUAACGGCCUACCAAAGCAACGAUCAGUAGCCGGCCUGAGAGGGUGAACGGCCACAUGGGACUGAGACACGGCCCAAACUCCUACGGGAGGCAGCAGGUGGGGGAUAUUGCACAAUGGGGGAAACCCUGAUGCCAGCGACGCCGCGUGAGUGAUGAAGUAUUUCGGUAUGUAAAACUCUAUCAGCAGGGAAGAAAAUGACGGUACCUGACUAAGAAGCUCCGGCUAAAUACGUGCCAGCCGCGGC